GCCCCCUUAGCUCAGUGGUAGAGCGCAGUCUUGGUAAGACUGAGGUCAUGGGAUCGAUUCCCAUAGGGGGCU
rnacentral:tRNA from 5 species